ACACAAAAUAGAGUGUGGCCCCCCUCACCUUCUCUUCCCUUCCCCCCUCCCCCCACCCCCUCUCUCUCCUUUUCUGCUCCUCUUUAAGCAGCAAUUUAGAGCCAUGUAAAAAGAGGUAUCAGGAGAAUAGCAUGCCUUUGUAGGGAGAAAGCUAUCACAGUAGAAGAUGCCUCUUUGCCAUAGAGAAAUCCACAUCAACUCUUUCUCCAACAGUAACACAUGUCAUGAAUAUAUAGCCCCUCCUCUCAAGCCCAUAACCCCCUCUCUCUCUCUCUCUCUCUCUCUCUCUCUCUCUCUCUCUCAAUAGCUAGUGUUGAUUUUAUCUUAAAGGUCUUUGCAACAAGGCUUUGAUCAAUUACAUGAUGUUGAAUUUUUGCCGUAUGUCGAUUGCGGGUGUCGGCGAUCAUCGUCGUGAAACUGAAUGAUGAAGGUAUCGAUAGAUUAGAUGCGGAGAUAUUGGCGUGCCUCAAUUCGAAGACAUGGCUAAAGUGAUCAGUUUAUGUAGCCUUGUAAUUGGAUUGAGCCGCGUCAAUAUCUCCCUCAGCUCCAAAAAAGCUCACUAUCUAUGAGAAAACCAGCUUUGUGCACAUGGUUGUAUUUCAUAGUACUCAUCGAGAAGAACAACAAAACAAAACAAAGGUAACAUAUUUGAACUACAAAUUUUAACUGUAAAUGUUACAGUUCGAUAAUACGAUAGAGAUCGAUAUAUUGUAUGCCUUCUCAAUUCAUGCAUGUGUGUUGUUCAGAGGGAUAUAUAAUAUCCCUACACUCAGCUGUCCCCAAUAAUUUGGUGGGAGUAGUCACACAUAAUUAUAUAUAAUGAGUUUGAAUGAUGCCUUUAACUAUACCAAUAAUAGAGUCAUAUAUAUGGUAAAGCUCUUUACUUCUCAAUUUGAAAACCUUAAGCAUGUUUCUCCAAAAAAAACAAACAAAAAAAAAGAACAAAAAGGAAACACCUAUGAAUUUUUCAGGAGGAGAAUAAGAUCAUGAUUUGGAUCAAAACCACUACACUUGAUUAGGAGAACCUUAUAUUAAUAUUGCCAUCCAAUAUUUGCUAAAUUUUGAUAGUAUAUAUAUUGUUGUUAUUGUAAUUAUUAUAUGUAGUACACUAAGCACCUGAAAUGCUUUAUCACUAAGGAGGUAAAGAGAAAAUGGUGGCCUAAUGUAGUACAACAAAAUCCAGUGCAGUUUAGAAGCACUAUGGAUGAAUUCAAAUGGUUUCUCUGUGAGUUGCUAGCUGUGCUGUUUAUACUUCCACUCCUUUUUAAUGAAAGUUAUAGGGCUUUUGAACCUACAACUAUUUAUCAAAAAAGAAAAAAAAAGAAUUCUUAACUAUUAUGAGCUGUUUAUAAUGAGUGUAUGGUGAGAUAUAUAUAUACAACAUACCUAAAUUUUCCUUUUCCUCUAGGCAUUCUCUUCAAAAGUUUUGAGUCUUUUGUGCAAUUCCACUCUCUACAUGUGCUUUAAUUUAUUCCCCCAUUAUUAUAGACAGAUAAGGGAAGAUACUAGGAUAUGUUAGUCAAGCUGAUUCUAACCUUAGGCCAUCUCCUUUUCUUGUAAAAUCUUACUUUAGAUCUUUUAUUUGUAGCUAAUUGUUACAAAUGUUGUUGUUAAUGAAUCCAAAGGGCCAAGUGCUUUUGAACUGUUUUUUAUUUUUCCUCUUUUGACUGAAGGACAUAGGGUGAUCUUCUGUGAGUGUAUAUUUGCUUUUGAAAUGUUAUAAUGCCUGUAAUUUAAGAAGUUUUAAUUUUCGUGAA